AUUGAACGCUGGCGGCAGGCCUAACACAUGCAAGUCGAGCGGCAGCGGGAAAGUAGCUUGCUACUUUUGCCGGCGAGCGGCGGACGGGUGAGUAAUGCCUGGGAAAUUGCCCAGUCGAGGGGGAUAACAGUUGGAAACGACUGCUAAUACCGCAUACGAUCUACGGAUGAAAGCAGGGGACCUUCGGGCCUUGUGCUAUACGAGCGGCUGAUGUCGGAUUAGCUAGUUGGUGGGGUAAAGGCCUACCAAGGCGACGAUCUGUAGCGGGUCUGAGAGGAUGAUCCGCCACACUGGGACUGAGACACGGCCCAGACUCCUACGGGAGGCAGCAGUGGGGAAUAUUGGACAAUGGGGGGAACCCUGAUCCAGCCAUGCCGCGUGUGUGAAGAAGGCCUUUUGGUUGUAAAGCACUUUAAGCGAGGAGGAGGCGCUCUAGGCUAAUACCCUAGAUGCGUGGACGUUACUCGCAGAAUAAGCACCGGCUAACUCUGUG
rnacentral:rRNA from 1 species